GCCUCGGUAGCGCAGUAGGCAGCGCGUCAGUCUCAUAAUCUGAAGGUCGUAAGUUCGAACCUCACCCGGGGCA
rnacentral:tRNA from 1 species